rnacentral:rRNA from 1 species
UGGGGAAUAUUGCACAAUGGGGGGAACCUUGAUGCAGCGACGCCGCGUGAGGGAUGGAGGCCUUCGGGUUGUGAACCUCUUUCGCUCGUGUGCAAGCCGCUAUUUGGGUAGUGGUGAGUGUAGCGGGUAAAGAAGCGCCGGCUAACUACGUGCCAGCAGCCGCGGUAAUACGUAGGGCGCGAGCGUUGUCCGGAUUUAUUGGGCGUAAAGGGCUUGUAGGCGGUUUGUCGCGCCUGUCGUGUAAUCCUCUGGCUUAACUGGGGGUGUGCGGUGGGUACGGGCAGGCUUGAGUGCGGUAGGGGAGAUUGGAAUUCCUGGUGUAGCGGUGGAAUGCGCAGAUAUCAGGAGGAACACCGGUGGCGAAGGCGGGUCUCUGGGCCGUUACUGACGCUGAGGAGCGAAAGCGUGGGGAGCGAACAGG